AUGGCUAAGGGUUUUCCAAGCGUCACCGGGAGCUCCUCCAAUUGUUGCCCCGUACACCGCAUUGCUGCCGCCGCUGGAUCGCCGAGACCGAUCCCCCGAGGAACCUCGUGUUCAACAACACAACGAGCGUUAAGUACCACUACAACCCAUGUUCGACUACGUGGAUUCGCCAAGUACCACGAUGACCAUCGCUUUCCAAGUUCGACUACACGGUGGCGCGUCAAGUACCUCUACUGCGUCUACGGGAUCGCCAAGAACGCGUGCCUCGACGACCCGCCAAGAUCCCGUGAACGUCUACUUCCACUACCGCCGCGAGAACGACUACUUCCACUACGCCCCGUGUACCACUACUGUCGACCCUCGAAGAUUCCGUGGACGUCAAGUUCCUCGUUGUGA
rnacentral:rRNA from 1 species